GAAAAAUAAAUAUUAGAUAAAAUUUGUAUUAAUUCGAUGAUCGGGCCAUAAUUGGGCAGAAAAAUUGAACAUUCUUUAGGACCGCCAUUUUUCUGGCAACCUGUUGUUCCUUUAAAUUUCGUGCGUAUAGCACCACCUAUAACCCACGCCAAAGAACUACAAGCUACGUGUCGUAGUCAUAAAAAAGUAUGUAAUGUGAGUUACGGUCGUGCAAUAGUGUUUGGAUAUUAUUCAUAUUAUAUUUCAUAGUACAAUCGGUAGUAUCGAUAAGAAAAAACGAAGAAAGGAAAGAAGAGAAGAGAAUUUUUUUUGUCAAGCACGACAUUAAUACUGGAUAACCUUGUUCUGGCGUCCCCCCAUACAUAUUUAGAAUAGUAUCUUGCUGAAAUCAAAUUAUAUUCUAAAA